CCUUUGUCUUUUUUUCAACAGGGCCUGGGGCCAAGAUGUGCAGAGAAGCUGGAGGUUCACGUACGUCACUCAGCGUGUCUCCUCAUUUCUCUUCUCCACCCGGGUGCUGCAGUCUCUCACCUGGGGUCCCGGGCUCCUGUGGAGAACAGACACACACAAAAGCCCUGUGCUGCCAGAAGACAGAGCGUCCCAUCAAGAAAAUGCAGGGGGAAUGAAGAAAGGACAGGGAAACCCUCAGGAUGGUGUGUGUGUUCAGACCCCACAGCACCGAACUGCAGUGAGUCACAAAAACCCGGCACAAUGAAAUGAGGCCGCUGAGCUCACCUGAACAGAGCAGAACUGUCAUCCUUGGAAUGGCCAGGUCCGUCCUCACCUCUGUCUCCAGGGAGCACCCCAGGGACCGACGGGGACCUUCCAUCUCCAGCUCCCUCGGCCUCAGAUCUGCGCCUUCACCGAGG